GACGAACGCUGGCGGCGUGCUUAACACAUGCAAGUCGAACGGAAAGGCCUCUUUCGGGGGGUACUCGAGUGGCGAACGGGUGAGUAACACGUGAGUAACCUGCCCUUGACUUUGGGAUAACUUCAGGAAACUGGGGCUAAUACCGGAUAGGAGCUCCUGCUGCAUGGUGGGGGUUGGAAAGUUUCGGCGGUUGGGGAUGGACUCGCGGCUUAUCAGCUUGUUGGUGGGGUAGUGGCUUACCAAGGCUUUGACGGGUAGCCGGCCUGAGAGGGUGACCGGCCACAGUGGGACUGAGAUACGGCCCAGACUCCUACGGGAGGCAGCAGUGGGGAAUAUUGCACAAUGGGUGGAAGCCUGAUGCAGCAACGCCGGGUGCGGGAGGACGGCCUUCGGGUUGGAAACCGCUUUCGCUCAUGACGAAGCUUUGUGUGACGGUAGUGGGUAAAGAAGCACCGGCUAACUACGUG
rnacentral:rRNA from 1 species